rnacentral:rRNA from 1 species
UACGUAGGGUGCAAGCGUUGUCCGGAAUUAUUGGGCGUAAAGAGCUCGUAGGCGGUCUGUCGCGUCGGAUGUGAAAACUCGGGGCUCAACCCCGGGCCUGCAUUCGAUACGGGCAGACUAGAGUUCGGCAGGGGAGACUGGAAUUCCUGGUGUAGCGGUGAAAUGCGCAGAUAUCAGGAGGAACACCGGUGGCGAAGGCGGUUCUCUGGGCCUUACCUGACGCUGAGGAGCGAAAGCGUGGGGAGCGAACAGG